rnacentral:rRNA from 1 species
UACGAAGGGGGCUAGCGUUGUUCGGAAUCACUGGGCGUAAAGGGCGCGUAGGCGGCUGUUCCAAGUCGGGGGUGAAAGCCUGUGGCUCAACCACAGAAUGGCCUUCGAUACUGGACGGCUCGAGACCGGAAGAGGUGAGUGGAACUGCGAGUGUAGAGGUGAAAUUCGUAGAUAUUCGCAAGAACACCAGUGGCGAAGGCGGCUCACUGGUCCGGUUCUGACGCUGAUGCGCGAAAGCGUGGGUAGCAAACAGG